CCUACGGGAGGCAGCAGUGAGGAAUAUUGGUCAAUGGACGAGAGUCUGAACCAGCCAAGUAGCGUGAAGGAUGACUGCCCUAUGGGUUGUAAACUUCUUUUAUAUGGGAAUAAAAUGUUCCACGUGUGCGUUUUUGUAUGUACCAUAUGAAUAAGGAUCGGCUAACUCCGUGCCAGCAGCCCCGGUAAUACGGAGGAUCCGAGCGUUAUCCGGAUUUAUUGGGUUUAAAGGGAGCGUAGGUGGAUUGUUAAGUCAGUUGUGAAAGUUUGCGGCUCAACCGUAAAAUUGCAGUUGAGACUGGCAGUCUUGAGUACAGUAGAGGUGGGCGGAAUUCGUGGUGUAGCGGUGAAAUGCUUAGAUAUCACGAAGAACUCCGAUUGCGAAGGCAGCUCACUGGACUGCAACUGACACUGAGGCUCGAAAGUGUGGGUAUCAAACAGGAUUAGAUACCCCAGUAGUC
rnacentral:rRNA from 1 species